AAAUGAAUUGACGGGGGCCCGCACAAGCGGAGGAACAUGUGGUUUAAUUCGAUGAUACGCGAGGAACCUUACCUGGGCUUAAAUGUAGAGUGCAUGCGGUGGAAACACCCUUCCCUUCGGGGCUCUCUGCAAGGUGCUGCAUGGUUGUCGUCAGCUCGUGCCGUGAGGUGUCGGGUUAAGUCCCAUAACGAGCGCAACCCUUACCGUUAGUUGCCAUCAGGUCAAGCUGGGGACUCUAGCGGGACUGCCACCGUAAGGUGUGAGGAAGGUGGGGAUGACGUCAAAUCAGCACGGCCCUUAUGUCCAGGGCUACACACGUGUUACAAUGGCCGGUACAGAGGGCAGCUACUUCGCGAGAAGAUGCUAAUCUUUAAAGCCGGUCUCAGUUCGGAUUGGAGUCUGCAACCCGACUCCAUGAAGUUGGAUUCGCUAGUAAUCGCGCAUCAGCCAUGGCGCGGUGAAUACGUUCCCGGGCCUUGUACACACCGCCCGU
rnacentral:rRNA from 1 species